CAAUAGCGUAUAUUAAAGUUGUUGCGGUAAAAAAGCUCGUAGUUGGAUUUCUACCGAAGAUAGCCGGUCGGGUCUUCGACCUUGUAUCUGGUUUUGUCUUUGGUAUCCUCAUAGGGAACGUUUCUGCGCUUUAUUGCGUGGUGCGGUAUCUAUGACUUUUACUUUGAGGAAAUUAGAGUGUUCACGGCAGGCAAACGCCUUGAAUAUAUUAGCAUGGAAUAAUAACAUAGGAUCUUCGUCCUAUUUUGUUGGUUUCUAGGGCUAAGAUAAUGAUUAAUAGGGAUAAUUGGGGGCAUCUGUAUCAACGCGUCAGAGGUGGAAUUCUUGGAUUGCGUUGCGAGAAACUACUGCGAAAGCAUUUGCCAAGGAUGUUUUCAUUGA
rnacentral:rRNA from 1 species